GAUGAAGAACGUAGCGAAAUGCGAUAAUUAAUGUGAAUUGCAGAAUUCAGUGAAUCAUCGAAUCUUUGAACGCACAUUGCGCCCGCCAGUAUUCUGGCGGGCAUGCCUGUUCGAGCGUCAUUUCAACCAUCAAGCCCCAGGCUUGUGUUGGGGACCUGCGGCUGCCGCAGGCCCUGAAAACCAGUGGCGGGCUCGCUGUCACACCGGGCGUAGUAGAUUUUAUCUCGCUCAGGGCGUGCUGCGGGUUCCGGCCGUUAAAAAGCCUUUUUUACCCAAGGUUGACCUCGGAUCAGGUAGGAAUACCCGCUGAACUUAAGCAUAUCAAUAAGCGGAGGA
rnacentral:misc_RNA from 1 species